rnacentral:lncRNA from 1 species
AAUUUUUCUUUGAAUUAUAACAUUUGAAUGCUUUAGAGUUGGAGUCAUAACUGACUAGUAUGCUUUCGGUUGUCUUUGAAUUAUAGUGUCUGAUAUUCAAAUAGAUCCAAGUUUUUAUUAAAUUAACCCACCUAUCAUAACCAUCAUAAAAAGAAAAAAUGAUCUCAAGAUUCAUUUCUCUGUUGGAUCUACAACCAAUAAAAACCAACCACACUCAUCUUGAUUACCAUAUUCUUUAUCAUUCAUCAAGGGAGUCUAUUUAGUAAAAGAAUGGGUCUAAUUAACAUCUCCCUCUACACAUAGUUUGUGGGGUGUUAGAGGCGCAGUCGAUGUCAAGGUAAUGGAGAGGUCUGAGUUAUGAAGAUUGCCGUCGGUGCUGAGACUGCGCUGGAUUCCCACCAGCUUCAUAUCACGGUUGAGCUUGCAUUUCACUGGAAAGCAUAGCUGAUACGUCAGAAGAUAUGCGAUGCAGCGCCUGCCAAUGCUUCUGAAUUUUACAAGUA